AUGAUCCUCGUGAUCGGCCUCGCCCCGCCAUUGACCGCUAUGGUUUUCCUAGUGCUGUUGUUGUUGAACCGACUUCUUAUCAUGAUGUUAUUCAUCCUGAACGGCAAUUGCAAGCAGAGGAGAUUGCUGCUCUUGAGCUCAAACACGUGGGAUCUUGUUUCUCUUCCUCCAUGUGUUCAUCCCAUCACUUGUAAGUGGGUCUACAAGGUUACGACUCACUCUGAUGGUUCUCUUGAGCGCUACAUAGCCCGUCUUGUGGCUUGUGGCUUUCGGCAGGAGCAUGGUCGUGAUUACGAUGAGACUUUUGCUCCUAUGGUCCAUAUGACCAAGGUUGUUAGAAUCACGAUCCUAUUGUACGAUUCUACGACUUUAAGAUCAAAACUAACCACUCUGAUUCUACGAUUUUGGUUAGUAGAAUCAACGUUUUUACGAUUCUGA
rnacentral:rRNA from 1 species